AGGCAAGUCUCGAUUCCGUCAUCCUGCUAUCAGGGGCGCCAAUGAUCCAUGGCGGGUCGAGAAGAUCUCAAGGAGUGUCGAUCUGCUUCCCAUUCUUUUUUCGGCUCAAUUGUUACAAUGCCAAGGGGCCAAAAUCAGCAACAAGGGCGCCCUCAACCAUCCAAUGAGGUUCCAAAAUUAUUCAGCAAGGGGUAUCAAGUACAAAGCAUGAAG